ensembl:lincRNA Gm13814 predicted gene 13814
AAUUGGGGCAGCUGAGAGUGAAGAGGCCCCUGGAGCUGGUCCAUCUCCCCUUCAGGCAGACCCAGUUCAGAGGAUGAGAUCUCCCCUCCUCUUCCCUGCCCUGGGCAUCAGAAAGCUGACCUUGUAGAAUAAUCAAGAGGCUCCCUACUGCUUGGCUCCAGCGUGGUUUGGCCAAUGAGAGGCACUGGUAGGGGGCAGGAGGGGAGGAGGAGGAGGAGGAGGCUGGGAUGCUCUUUGCUCCUCUGGUUUUGGCUCAGGUGCCUGCCCACCACUUUCCCACUCAUCCCCAGCCUUCUUCUCUAGAUCCAGCAACACUCCCGUAGGCCUUGGCGGUUUCAGUAGUCUCUAGCUUUCCUAGUACCCUCCUUGGCAUCCUCAGUCCUGCACAGCUCUCUGUAAACAGUUCACUAGAGCAUCUUCAGUUGAUCUAUUAGAACAGAGUCCUGUUUCCUGCCAAGACCUUGGUGAAUGGGCAACUGAAGGUGUCUUCCAGUGCUGACAUUUUACACAUUCAGGGUGUGGAGUGUGCAGUUGCAAAGAACUGGCCACUUUUCAGGCUCUGAGACCUGGCUAUCCUAGACAGAGGGUUGCUUCCCUGUUGCUCAGGCUUCCUGAUUAAGAGCAAUUUAAAAGGUUCAUUUUGGCUCACAGAGGUCUCUCCUGGUGAAAUCACAUACACACUCCACCAACAGUCAAGAAACGGGAUGAUUCUACUCAGCUCACAUCCUUUUUAUACAGCCUAGGACCCAGGGAAUGUUGCCACCCACAGUAGGCAGGUCUUCCCAUCUUAAUGAACUCAACUAAGAUACUUCUGUCACAAGGCUUUGUCCAGAGGCCUGUUUCCCAGGUCAUUCUAGAUGUCAGGAUGGUAACAUUAGUUUUGUAUCAAGGCAUACAUAUACACACACUGCAGAAAGAUGUUUAGUCAUGUGAGGAUAAUGCUUGUCCCUUCUGAAGGACACAAGGUGACAUUUUAGAAGCAGAGCCCUUAUUUUAUAAUUCUGAGGUAUUUUGUUAUUUCUAAAAUACCAUUUACUGUAGGACUAUUCUAACAGUUUCCUAACCAUCUCUAGCCUCCAUUCGCCAUGAAAAUUCAUAAUCUCAGAUCUGAUCCUGCCACUCCUGCUCAGAAGGCCUGCUUAGUGCUAUUUAGCCAACCUUAAUGUUGGAGUCUGUCUUUCAUCUCUGCAUCUCUAGCCAUCGAUAUGUAUUCCACUAUAACAAAAUGCUUGGUGUUUGAUAACUUUUUGAGCAGCUCACAGUUCUGAGGUUCAAGGGCCCGGUGCCAGCAUCAGGCUGACUCUGGUGAAGGCUUCAUAGAUGGCAUCUCAUUGGUAAGAAUAUGUAUGAGGGUAUCAGAGGACCGGUGGAAUGACAGCAGCCAGGCUCUUUUCUAACAACCCUCUCACCAGAACCACCUCAGGGUUACCUGAGAACUACCUCAUCCCCAGGGAACCAGAUGACCUUCCAGUAAGGCUCAUUUCUUUAAAGUCCCACCAGUUCAACACUGUCACCAACACUCGGGCCUCUGUAAUAUAGCCACACCCCAAACACAACCCAGGGAAGGAGAGCAGCCAGGGCCUCCCAAGGGGUGGGAACACUUUGUGGAGUUAUGGGGUGCCUCAGGGAGAAACAGUGGGUCAGGCAGAGGGCAACCAGCAAGAGGGCUGUAGAAGGGGCCGUAUUAACUAGAGGAAGAUGUGUCAGAUCACCUCACCUUAGGCUGGAUGGCUUUACUGUUUUAACUUCUGUGUUGGGAAAUCUUUCAGAGAGUUAAAGAACAGUGACAAGAUACAUUCAUGCUUAAGAUUUCCCUUGGCCACUGAAUGGAGUCAGAUGACCGCAGGCACCUUUUGAGGACAGGGAAUCCAAGGUCUAGCAGGCAAACAUUUGCGUCACAGUUCAUUCCAUUUGUGGACUCUGCUUCUUUUUAAGUGAGCUGUAACUGAUCCAGGAGAGGCAUCUAGGUAGUGUGGGGGAAGAUAUCAGGACACAUGCCCGUGUAAUAGUUCGUUCUGAUUCAUUAAAAGUCCUGCUGGGUCUGACCUGUGGCUUUCCAGGUCCAGUCCAAAUAAGAAGUGGGGGCAUCUAGAAAGAAAACAUGGCUCCCAGGAAGGACUCCUGCAGACGUGGCAUCAAUAAAUAAAAGUCCCAAGCUUACCUGACUUCUCUUCUUCUCCAGCAUCCACUUCAACAAAUCCCUCAGACUCACUCAAAACAUCUGACUUGACCUUUUUCUCUAGGGAUGCUAGGGAGCAUCUUUUAAAUCUUAUCCCAAAGAGUGUUACCUACAUAGUCGAUCAAUCAGUCACCGUCUCCUGGAGUUGUGCAGUUCCUGCUUCUCUCCAGCCUCACCCGGGGCUACCUUUCUCCGGCCGCCUACCUGCCUCUUACCUCUACAACUGCGGCUGAGAGCCAGGAUCACAGAACCUGGGGAAGGUGCUUCCAGAGGCGACUGUGGAAUGGGGCUGCCCUUCCACUCGCAGGCAGGGAAGUCUGGGUAGAGGGGAGGGGUCUUUUCGAAGCAGGUGGGACAGGCCGGUGCUCUACCUGUCCCUACUUUGUGUUCCAAGAAGCAUAAAGUCUGGCGUUUGGGGGUGGCAUGAGGAAAUGGGUGGACGGUCGGUGCUAAUGAGGCGUGUGUUUCAGCUGUUCGCAGUUGUUCCGCACAGAGGAAGCAGGAGGCCGGAAGCCUCUGGGCGGCGGCGAAGCUGGGAAAGCUUUAAGCUGGGAAUCUGCGUCUCUCCAGCCACCAGCUUUGGAGGGGACAGCAGCGGCUCCCACUGGCUUCAGCUCUGCAUUCUGGUUGGUUGUCUCUGCCCAUCGGCAGCCAGCUCCAGGCCUGGUCCCACCCCAUCUGCCGCACUAUCACCCGGGAUUGGCUGAACUCGGCAAGGCUAGGCUGCCUUGCCUCUCGCCAUCAGAUUCUUCAUUAAACAAAUGAAUCACAAUCCUAAUUAAUUUGAGCAACAGAAUUUAUGUAACUACUCCCAGCAGGAUGUCUGCUCUCAGUCGGUAGCGAGAUGAAUUCCUCUCUCUGGGAAAUUUCAGCCGCGCUGGUCAAUAAAACCUUAAUG